GGGAGCUAGUGCAGGACUGCGGUGGUGAGGACGUGACACGUUCCAUCUCCUUUUUCUGUCAGGCUGUAUCUCUCCAUAUUGUCUCCAAUGGGAAUAAAUCCUGUUCAUACUUCUCCUAUUCUUUGCAAUUUAUCAAGCGAUAGUCAUGUAAAUCUGAUGCGAUUCUUGUGUCUCAGCUGAUUGUGGGCUUCUGAGAAACAAUACAGAAAAUGAGGAGGGUGUUGCUAACUUCAGCAGCAGUAAGAGUUAAAAGAUCAUUAAAGUUGGACACUCUUAAAAAAGAUACUCUACCUGGUGAAACACCCUUGAAGACCAAAAGUAAUCUAAACGCUUACUCGCCGACAACAGGAACACGCCAGAUGAGUCCGUUUUCAUCUCCCAUGACUCAUAAUGCACAGAAUCCCAGAAAUGACCCAUCAAAUGGUUAGUUGAACGUUCUGUCUUUCUUACUGCAACAUUUUUCCGAUGAUGGCUUGAUUUAGUAAGAUGUCUCAUGUGGUACGUU
rnacentral:lncRNA from 1 species